UAGGGGGUAGGAAGACCCGGUUCACGGGCUCAUAACCCGAAGAUCGCAGGUUCAAAUCCUGCCCCCGCAACCA
rnacentral:tRNA from 1 species